GACAGAGGGUGCAAACGUUGCUCGGAAUUACUGGGCGUAAAGGGCGUGUAGGCGGGCAGGUAAGUCGGGCGUGAAAUCCCUGGGCUCAACCCAGGAACUGCACUCGAAACUACUUGCCUUGAGUGCCGGAGAGGAAAGCGGAAUUCCUGGUGUAGAGGUGAAAUUCGUAGAUAUCAGGAGGAACACCAGUGGCGAAGGCGGCUUUCUGGACGGUAACUG
rnacentral:rRNA from 1 species